GGGGCAUUCAGUAGAUUUCCUGUUUCCACUGGAAGCUCUUAGGCAAAUAGUGUUAUUAAGAUACUUGUUUUGGUAAGGCACAGCACUAAAUAAACAAAGAUGUUCUUUUUGGAUUACAAUAAAAAGUGGAAAAUAAUAUUUCAUGUCAUCGUAUAAAAUAUUCAACAAAAUUAAAGAUUGCAGAAGUCGUCUAUGCCCGUGGCAGACAAGAAAAUAUGAAAUAAAUACCUGGAGGAUCCAUAAAAUCAAAGUGCACCAAAUCAUCUAUACCAAGCUUCUUGAGCUGCAACACUACAGAUCCUAAGUUAGACCUCAAAAUCUCAGGGUAUGUGUUAUCCUGCAUUUCAGUUUUGUAAGCCUUCUCUGUGUACAGCCUGAAGCACUUGCCUGGUCUAGUACGACCAGCACGGCCAGCUCGCUGCUGAGCAGAAGCUUUACUAAUUGCAGUCACCAAGAGAGACUCCACUCUGAUACGAGGAUUAUAUACCUUUUGUUUUGCAAAGCCAGGAUCAAUCACAAACACAACACCAUCUAUUGUUAAUGACGUCUCAGCAAUGUUAGUGGACACAACAACCUUUCUUCCUAUUGCUCCGUUUUGUUUUUUUGGUGGGGGAGGUUCAAAAAUCCUCUGUUGUUGCUGAGGAGGAAGGGUAGAAUACAAUGGAAUGAUUUUGAUGUCACCCACUUCAGGACCUAAGUCAUCAAUUUCACGUUUUAUCCUCUUGCAGGCUUCAUCAAUCUCCUCCUGUCCAGUAAGAAAGAGUAGAAGAUCUCCUUCUUCCUCUUCACACAUGUGAAUCUGGAUCACUGUUCGAAUGGCAGCCUCAAGGUAAUCCCUUUCUGGUUCUGGAGUAUAGAAUAUCUCCACAGGAUGGGUGCGACCCGGAAUAGUUAGUAGAGGGCAGUUAUCAAAGUAGAUCUGAAACUUGCCAGCAUCUAAAGUAGCACUCAUAACUAUAACCUUCAGAUCAGCUCUCUGUCUUACAACUUCUUUCAAAACUCCCAUUAAAAUAUCCGUAGCCAGUGUUCUCUCAUGGGCCUCAUCAAGAAUUAUAACGCCAUAGCGCUCCAGCAAAGGAUCAUUCAUUGCUUCACGAAGUAACAUACCAUCAGUCAUAUACUUGAGAAUAGUUUUUGCACUACUGCAGUCUUCAAAUCGAAUGGAGUAACCAACCUCCUGGCCCAGCAUUACAUCCAUCUCAUCAGCAACCCUCUGCGCCACACUCAUUGCAGCCACUCUCCUCGGCUGGGUACAUGCUACUCCCCUCUUUGGUCCAGGCAAUGAGCGCAUGUAGUCAACACACCACUGAGGGAUCUGUGUUGUUUUACCAGACCCAGUCUCUCCAACCAGCACAAAUGACUGAUGCCUAAUCAAAAUAUCCGUGAAUCUUUCUUUAUAUUCCCAGACAGGAAGCUGUAGUCGUUUCUUCAGUAUGUCAUAAUAACGAGGCGUAUGUGGUAGAUUUGUGAAAGGGUUAAUACUGUGUGGAAUCAUUGCUGGUUUCAUAGGUGGUAACCCAGCAGCAAUGAGCGUAGAGUUAGAUGCAGCUCGCAACUCCUUUUCCUUCUCCCUUUCUCUGUCACGAUCUCUAUCUCUGUCACGAUCCCUGUCACGAUCUUUCCGGUCAUCACGGUCCCUGUCUCGGUCACGAUCCUUCCCGUCAGAGCGCUUCUUGCUGGAGCUGUAAUCGUCGCCCAGAUCUAAGCGGUGGCGCUUGGACAUGGCGGCGGCCGGAGUGGCGGAGAGCCGCUGGGCACAGCGGGGCUGGGUACAACGAGACGCGCUCUCCGCUCCUCGAGCAGCAGCAACGGCAGCGGCGCCGCGAGGCCAGGCGCAGCCACUAAAAUGGCGGCCGGAAGGAAACGCCGGGGCUGCGCGAGCCGCUGCCGCGCGCGCGCAUGGGAGUGAGCUCGGCGGAGCCGUCCCUCAGCGCGCGGCCACCGCUCGGCUCCGCCCCGCGCGUUCCAACGGCUGCGGCCGGGCACGACGUGAUGGCGGCCGGGUGGCGCGAGGAGCAUUCCGAGUGCUGUCUUAGACGCUGGCAGCGCCCUGCAGGCCAAACUCAUUUCCAGAGUCCGUUCCGUUCGCCGGGGCAGGCGAGCACUGGAACAGGAGUUACCACGGUGGAAGUUAAAAGCAGGAUGAUGUUGGCACGUAGUUUUUGUGGGCCGUUGUAGACGUCCAUGGGUGUAGAAAAACGCAGUCCUUCACGAGUCAUCUGAAGCAGCAGAAAUGAGAAAAUCAGUGACGCUCAGACUACAAGCUCUAAAAGCGCAUGCAUUUAGGAUUGCUGGUACAAGGAAGCCCAUGUUCCCAGCACCAACAGGGUACUGUUACAUCAAAGUUCUCUAGGUGUGAGCACAUGCUGGCAUUUAGUAACACAAGUGCUGCAGUGCAAUGGGACACAUGAGCUAGAAGUACCAUUUUGUCUAUACGGCUAGCAGGUUAUGCUUGUACACUGAUGCAUUAUUCUCACAUUUCCAGCCAGUGUAGCCACCAGCCGGAAUCUGUGGCUCAGGCUGGCUCCAGCAGACCUAUCUUCAGGGUUGUUUCCGUGUCCUGACCUGUGUUCUCAUCUCCAGCCUCCCCCAGCACCUUCCAAGAACUGGGUUAACCAUCUACACAAGCUGUGUUUGUCCCCUGACUGCAGGCAGAGAUGAGGCUAAGCAGAAGAUGAAGUCAGGCAAACAAGAUGUCCCUUAAUGAGAUGCCCUAAAUGAAAAGGGUGUGAACCGCUUUACUGCUGAUGGGAGCGCUGUUAUUCCUAGGCAGACCCCUGUGCUCUCACAACUGGUUCCUUCGGCUGUUUCUCCUCUCGCCCAGCACUAAGGUUUAGCAGCUGCCUUGCUUUCCAAAACAGUCACUUGAUAAUUCAGCAUAGCUUAUAAAAGUCAAUCUCUGAGAGCUUCUGUAAAGGCAAGAAGGACAUUUCUUGAUACUUAUCUACUGCUGGACAUUCUCUUCUCUGGUCCUCCUUGCUUUCCCAGUAUAUUUCAUGCUCUCUCA
rnacentral:lncRNA from 1 species